GAUGAACGCUGGCGGCGUGCCUAAUACAUGCAAGUCGAGCGAACGGACGAGAAGCUUGCUUCUCUGAUGUUAGCGGCGGACGGGUGGGUAACACGUGGAUAACCUACCUAUAAGACUGGGAUAACUUCGGGAAACCGGAGCUAAUACCGGAUAAUAUUUUGAACCGCAUGGUUCAAAAGUGAAAGACGGUCUUGCUGUCACUUAUAGAUGGAUCCGCGCUGCAUUAGCUAGUUGGUAAGGUAACGGCUUACCAAGGCAACGAUGCAUAGCCGACCUGAGAGGGUGAUCGGCCACACUGGAACUGAGACACGGUCCAGACUCCUACGGGAGGCAGCAGUAGGGAAUCUUCCGCAAUGGGCGAAAGCCUGACGGAGCAACGCCGCGUGAGUGAUGAAGGUCUUCGGAUCGUAAAACUCUGUUAUUAGGGAAGAACAUAUGUGUAAGUAACUGUGCACAUCUUGACGGUACCUAAUCAGAAAGCCACGGCUAACUACGUGCCAGCAGCCGCGGUAAUACGUAGGUGGCAAGCGUUAUCCGGAAUUAUUGGGCGUAAAGCGCGCGUAGGCGGUUUUUUAAGUCUGAUGUGAAAGCCCACGGCUCAACCGUGGAGGGUCAUUGGAAACUGGAAAACUUGAGUGCAGAAGAGGAAAGUGGAAUUCCAUGUGUAGCGGUGAAAUGCGCAGAGAUAUGGAGGAACACCAGUGGCGAAGGCGACUUUCUGGUCUGUAACUGACGCUGAUGUGCGAAAGCGUGGGGAUCAAACAGGAUUAGAUACCCUGGUAGUCCACGCCGUAAACGAUGAGUGCUAAGUGUUAGGGGGUUUCCGCCCCUUAGUGCUGCAGCUAACGCAUUAAGCACUCCGCCUGGGGAGUACGACCGCAAGGUUGAAACUCAAAGGAAUUGACGGGGACCCGCACAAGCGGUGGAGCAUGUGGUUUAAUUCGAAGCAACGCGAAGAACCUUACCAAAUCUUGACAUCCUUUGACAACUCUAGAGAUAGAGCCUUCCCCUUCGGGGGACAAAGUGACAGGUGGUGCAUGGUUGUCGUCAGCUCGUGUCGUGAGAUGUUGGGUUAAGUCCCGCAACGAGCGCAACCCUUAAGCUUAGUUGCCAUCAUUAAGUUGGGCACUCUAAGUUGACUGCCGGUGACAAACCGGAGGAAGGUGGGGAUGACGUCAAAUCAUCAUGCCCCUUAUGAUUUGGGCUACACACGUGCUACAAUGGACAAUACAAAGGGCAGCGAAACCGCGAGGUCAAGCAAAUCCCAUAAAGUUGUUCUCAGUUCGGAUUGUAGUCUGCAACUCGACUACAUGAAGCUGGAAUCGCUAGUAAUCGUAGAUCAGCAUGCUACGGUGAAUACGUUCCCGGGUCU
rnacentral:rRNA from 1 species